GUUAACCGUUAACCAUCUGCUUCAAAGAGCUUUAAAAUUUACUUCCUUGUGCCACAAGGCCCAUUUCUCUAUACGCUGUGAAGACGGACUUUACUGAAAGAAGCUAUUUGGAUAAUAUCGUCAAAUUCACUCGAGGUGUCUUUGGCUGACAAGUUGCAAAGACGCUGGUGGGACCAUCCCAAACAAAAUGGCACUCCGCCCGUUGGUCCUCUGUCUUCUAUUUUCUUUAAUGCUCUGGGCAGAAAAUACGGAUGCAGCUCCCUGCGAUUUUAACUAUUCCAACUACUUCAAGGAUAUUUAAUGCAGAAGUCACUGAAAAUUCAACAAACGAUUUAGCAUUUUUCAACAUAUCUGUUGAAGGAAAUAUAUCAGAAAUUGUUUUAACCUUGAUACCCAAAUACUAUUUUCAAAUUGCAAGAUAAACAGCUGCUAGUGGCUAAUCAAACAGCCUUGGACAGAGAGACACUGGGAGAGACUGCUAUUCUCACGUUGACAUGCGAAUUUGAUGGAUUAAUAUAUCGGGCUAGUAUUGCAGUAAAAAUUCUCGAUGUCAAUGAAUUUGACCCAGAAUUUCAAGGUACUCCUUACAUGUGGCAUAUCUCCGAGUUUUCUUCAGUGCCAACGACGUUUCCUGUACCAGCAAUGGACGGGGAUAUUUCAAGUCGUAUCACAUACACCUUGGAUCAAUCAGUGGUAAGGCGAUAAGGCAAUAAUAUAUUAC